GACGAACGCUGGCGGCGUGCUUAACACAUGCAAGUCGAACGGAAAGGCCCUGCUUUUGUGGGGUGCUCGAGUGGCGAACGGGUGAGUAACACGUGAGUAACCUGCCCUUGACUUUGGGAUAACUUCAGGAAACUGGGGCUAAUACCGGAUAGGAGCUCCUGCUGCAUGGUGGGGGUUGGAAAGUUUCGGCGGUUGGGGAUGGACUCGCGGCUUAUCAGCUUGUUGGUGGGGUAGUGGCUUACCAAGGCUUUGACGGGUAGCCGGCCUGAGAGGGUGACCGGCCACAUUGGGACUGAGAUACGGCCCAGACUCCUACGGGAGGCAGCAGUGGGGAAUAUUGCACAAUGGGCGGAAGCCUGAUGCAGCAACGCCGCGUGCGGGAUGACGGCCUUCGGGUUGUAAACCGCGUUCAGCAGGGGCGAAGCUUGUGGUGACGGUACCUGCAGAAGAAGCACCGGCUAACUACGUG
rnacentral:rRNA from 1 species